AGAGCGGGAGCCCGGAGAUGGGCACUGAGACAAGGGCCCAGGCCCUACGGGGCGCAGCAGUCGCGAAAACUUUGCAAUAAGCGAAAGCUUGACAGGGCUAUCCCGAGUGCCAUCCGCUGAGGAAGGCUUUUACCCAGUCUAGAACGCUGGGGGAAUAAGGAGAGGGCAAGUCUGGUGUCAGCCGCCGCGGUAAUACCAGCUCUCCGAGUGGUGUGGAUGUUUAUUGGGCCUAAAGCAUCCGUAGCUGGCUAAGUUAGUCCCUUGUUAAAUCCACCGAAUUAAUCGUUGGAUUGCGGGGGAUACUGCUUGGCUAGGGGACGAGAGAGGCAGACGGUAUUUCCGGGGUAGGGGUGAAAUCCUAUAAUCCCGGGAAGACCACCAGUGGCGAAGGCUGUCUGCU
rnacentral:rRNA from 1 species